rnacentral:rRNA from 1 species
UACGUAGGGUGCAAGCGUUGUCCGGAAUUAUUGGGCGUAAAGGGCUCGUAGGCGGUUUGUCGCGUCGGGAGUGAAAACUCGGGGCUCAACCCCGAGCCUGCUGUCGAUACGGGCGGACUAGAGGUAGGUAGGGGAGAACGGAAUUCCUGGUGUAGCGGUGGAAUGCGCAGAUAUCAGGAGGAACACCGGUGGCGAAGGCGGUUCUCUGGGCCUUACCUGACGCUGAGGAGCGAAAGCGUGGGGAGCGAACAGG